GUCAUCUGCAAACACUGAAACAUGGCUUUCAAUGCCUAUUUCAAGAUCAUUUAUAAAUAUAUUAAAUAGAAGCGGUCCCAAAACAGAACCCUGAGGGACACCACUUUUGUCCAGCCUGAAAAUGUACCAUUAAUGACAACUCGUUGUACUCUAUCCUUAAGCCAAUGUUCUACCCAAGAAUAAGAAGGAUCAUCUAGACCAAUUUCUUUUAGUUUGAAGACUAACCUAUUGUGAGGAACCGUAUCAAAUGCCUUGGCAAAAUCCAAGUAGAUCACAUCCACUGCAACACCCUAAUCUAUACUUCUACUUACUUCUUCGUAGAAUGCAAUUAGGUUCGUUUGACAUGACCUAUGUUUCAUAAAACCAUGCUGAUUAUUGCUAAUAACAAAGUUCUUCCCAAUAAAUUCCGGAAUAUUAUCCCUUAAUAGCCCUUCAAAUAUUUUGUCAGUCACAGAAGUUAAGCUCACAGGUCUAUAAUUUCCAGGCAAGGAUUUUGAACCCUUUUUAAAUAUAGGAACAACAUCUGCCUUCCUCCAAUCCUCCGUUACAAUACCUGAUGUGACGACUAACUUCGGCAGCACAUAUACUAAAAUCAGAUACGCGACGGCACGAACACCGCUGAACUUCUACCUUCUAUGUGACUUUGACGUUCGACUAUAUGAACGCCACAUUAACCUUGCCUAUUUGCACGAACGGCCUCUGUUUGUGCAUUUGAACAGUAUUUAACUAUGGUGAAUAGACCGGCCGCACAGCCCAAAUCUGUGAAACUGUUUUGAGCAUGAAAAUGUGGGGCGGUCAAAGGAGACUUCCAGCUAUCUCCCGAACCACUGGACCAAUUCAUAUGAUUUUGGGAUAUGUUUGUUCCCUAAUUAUGCUGGUUCAGAAAAUGUAACUUUUAUUGGAAUGUGAUGUAUAAUUUAGCAGUUAUAGAUAAUGUGUAAAAAGUAUAUUUUUCGCUUGGAGAUAGUUGAGAUGAUACAGCAAUUAACUCAAUUAUCUCCCAAGCAGAGGGGAGGAAUUUACUGUAAUGAAUGGGAGUGUUUAUCUGUGUGACUGUAAACUAUUGGUUGUUGAGUUUGUCUUUUCAGUGCCUAACAAGGUCCACAUGGGUGGUAACCUUGUGGGGAAAUGUGUAUAUAAGAAGCAAUAAAGCCUCAGUGCAUUCUGUUCCU